AAUUAAUUUUUUCCAUUGUAAUUUUUAAUUGCCAUAUGCCCAUAUCAUUGACUAUGUAAUUCUUGAUAUUUGCAAUUGAGAAUGGUUGUCAUGAGCUGAUUUUUCUUUUCUCUUCCGAGUUAUAAUUCAAUUCUAUCCCCCCCUUUUCAUGUUUUAUUUUUUUCUCACCUUUUCUUGCAUCCUCUUUCCAUUUUAAUAAAACGAAAGCCAAGGUGUUGGGGAUUUUCAUUUCACCAUAGUGCAUGUUUUAGGAAACAUACAUUAUUGAUUAUACCAGGCUAACAUAGGUCUGUUUAAAUGCUGCAUAUGCUCUAAUUUGGACAAAACGAGGCUCAAUUGCUCAAUCUUGAAUUAUGUAAAGGUCUACUUAUGCCAAAUCGAAACAUGAGCACCCAGUUGUCUUUGGUGGGAUUGAAUAACCUAAGAAGCUGAUAGAAUUUCUCCUUAACAUAAGAAACAACCAUAUUGAUAUUAUCUGGCAUCAAGAGCUCAAUUCGAAGCUAUUAUAGUUUUUAAUCCAAACUGAACAUCAUCUUACAGAGGCUUUCUGGAGCAUCUUUGCUAAUACUAGCAAAUAAGCAAGACCUAAAAGGUGCUCUGACACCAGAUGAAAUUGCUAAGGUACUGAUUUAAAUAUUGUAAUUUGUAGGUCAUUUUUCUUUCUUGGACCAACUUGAAGUUUGUUGUCCUUUUUCCAUGUUAUUACUGUGCUGCUCAUUGUCCUGAAAUAUUCACUCUCCCGGUGUAGUUGUGAACUUUAAUUUGAUAUUUGAGCAUGUGUGUCAACUUGUGAAUCUUGCUUUCUCAAUUAUGUCAUCAGGUGUGUUUGUUUCAGCAGCUAUUAAUGAUGUUAGGCACGUGUAUUCUGUUUCUUCCUAUUCUAUUUUAAAUCCUAUUAUAUUUGAUCAGAACGGGGCAAAGAACAUUUCACGGUUUAAUGAUUACGGAAGUCGACUUGAUAUGCAUAUAUUUUUAAAUAUCUAUAACUUUCCAGUAUUUGGGCAAUGAAAGAAGAAUGGUUCAAAAUGGUUAAGCAUGCCUUAGUAUCUUGACCUUACACUUCCAACAUAAUCAGGUACUAAACCUGGAGAAUAUGGACAAAAUCAGGCAUUGGAAAAUCGUGGGCUGUAGCGCAUACACAGGGGAGGGGCUGCUUGAGGGAUUUGAUUGGUUGGUUCAGGACAUGAUGAUACCUUAGGAUCUAGUCAACAUUAAGCAAUAGAGUUAGGUUUUUUUUAUUGGCCCUCUCAGAGAACUGAUUAAGGUCCAUUUGUACUGUUUUAUUAACUAUCUUAUUGUUGUGGAAUUUAGUCAAGCUGUGAAUUCGACAAAAAAAGAAAAAAGUCAAGCUGUGAAACUUUUUGGGUCAAUAGUAUUAUUAAAACUUUCAAUGGGAAGUUUGGGUCAAUAUUAGUGACUAAUCAGCCAUAAAAGCAAAUUAAAUAAUAAAUAUUUUUUUGAUUUUACUAUUAA